rnacentral:tRNA from 1 species
GGUCCCUUAGCUCAAUUGGUAGAGCGUCCGUCUUCUAAAUGGUAGGUUAUAGGUUCGACUCUAUAGGGAUCA